rnacentral:lncRNA from 1 species
CGACGCACAUGGAGGCCAAUUCGAGGGGCAAAGGCAUCGCGAGCUAAAGAAGUAGCCGGUUUGAGGUGAGUAAUGAGUGUAAAUGAUGUCCUGAGGGUUUGAAACCCCGGAUUGCACAUCAUAGUGCUAUAUUGAGGUGAGACACGUGCUGGAUGAAGAGCGUAGGGUCCUUUACUACUGAGGAUUGUGACUUGGUCCAUCCCGUAUUGAUGAUUUUACUGCAUAUUUGAUUGAAACUGAUUUGUUAUCAUCAUGAUUUGGGCUUUUUGCCAUAUUUGGGCUUCGUGCCAAUUAUUUGAUUCCUUCGUGAAUUUUUAUCACUAUUUCCUCACUGUUUUGACUUAUAUUUAAACUCAGUCCUGUUGAUGAUUAUUGUUUUACAAACUCAACCACUUUUAUACAGAUUUGAAACUCAAAUAAUAUUUCUAAAUGAUAUUUUGGGCUGAGAAGUACUGUUUUACAAAUGCCCAAGGGGCUUGUGAUGAUUUUCGGACUGAGUGAGGCCAAGGGCCUUAUGUGAGGAUAUGCUGAGUGAUAUGAGGCCGAGGGCCUGAGUUACUAUUUAUGCAACGCGGUGGUUUGAGUGAUGUGAGGAGGCUUUCAGGCUCUAUGAGUAUGAGGAGGCUUUCAGGCCUUAUGAGUGAAGUGAGAAAGCUUUCAGGCCUUAUGUUAUUAUUGCGCUUGGGUUGUAGGAGCCCCUCCGGAGUCUGCACACCCACAGUGAGCACGGGUACCCAUGUGAUUUGAGACAGUGGUAACAAUGACACUGUAUGAUGCAAUUUGGUCAGGUAAAAUGGCUGACCAGGAUAGUGGUAACAAUGAUAUUGUAUGAUGCAAUUUGGUCAGGUAACAAUGACUGACCAGGAAUAACACCGUGAGGUCAGGUAACAAUGGCUGACCAGGAACUAAUUUGUGCCCGAGGGGCUGGUACUAUUCUAUAUGAUUGCCCGAGGGGCGAGGUUUAUAUGUUCAUUUUCCAUACUCACUUGUCUUUUACUUGUUUAAUUGUGGUAUUUGUGCCCGAGGGGCGGAUUUCUGUGCAUAGCGGCACUAAUGGUUUUGAAAUUAUUUCACAACUGUUGAAAAGAUCAUUUUCAAAAGAGGUUUAAAACUGAGCCAAGGUAUUUUCUAAAGAAUUCACAGUUUCACUGAUUGUUCUCAAGGCGUUUUACACGGCUUCUAUAUAGCAUGUUGGUUACUUUACGUGUUUUCUUGCUGCUCAGUUAUUAUUUACCUUUAUUACUCACUGAGUUGGAGUACUCACUUUACUCCCUGCACCUUGCGUGCAGUUGCAGGUAUUUGUUCACCCGGUAGCGGGUAUUGGCUUCAUGGAGGCAGAGUUGUAGAGGUUUUAGCGAGGUGACUGCAAGCGUUCGCAGCACCAUUGUCUUUCUAUGUUAUUCAUUAUUCUUGUUCAGUGUAUUUCUAGACUGUAAAGUUGAAAUUUCAUUCUUAUAGAUGCUCGUGACUUGUGACACCCCGGUUAGGGCUGUGUCGGGCUGGACUUCCGCAUUAUUAUCUAUAUUUGUGUUAAUUAACUGCUUUAAAAGAUGAAUUCGGUUAGACUGGUUGGCCUUGUCUUCAAGAGAGGCACCAUCACGACCGGGUUCGGGAAUUGGGUCGUGACAUGAGAUGAAUAAUGGAAAAUGGUAACGUCUCGGGGAGGUGGCUUAGCCGACCGGGCCAUGAUCGGAUGCCAUGAUAUAUACAUAUGGUGGUAAUGUAUUGAUAAUUGAAACUGAAAAGUGUGAAUGAAAUAAUGAUAUUAUCUCC